rnacentral:rRNA from 1 species
GACGAACGCUGGCGGCGUGCCUAAUACAUGCAAGUCGAGCGGAGUUAGAGAAGCUUGCUUCUCUAACUUAGCGGCGGACGGGUGAGUAACACGUGGGCAAUCUGCCCGUAAGACUGGGAUAACUCCGGGAAACCGGGGCUAAUACCGGAUAAUCCUGACUCUCUCCUGAGAGUCAGUUGAAAGAUGGUUUCGGCUAUCACUUACGGAUGAGCCCGCGGCGCAUUAGCUAGUUGGUAGGGUAAUGGCCUACCAAGGCGACGAUGCGUAGCCGACCUGAGAGGGUGAUCGGCCACACUGGGACUGAGACACGGCCCAGACUCCUACGGGAGGCAGCAGUAGGGAAUCUUCCGCAAUGGACGAAAGUCUGACGGAGCAACGCCGCGUGAGUGAAGAAGGUUUUCGGAUCGUAAAACUCUGUUGUAAGGGAAGAACACGUACGAGAGUAACUGCUCGUACCUUGACGGUACCUAACCAGAAAGCCACGGCUAACUACGUG